GUUUGUUGGUGGGGUAAUGGCCUACCAAGACGAUGAUGUGUAGCUGGACUGAGAGGUCGAACAGCCACAUUGGGACUGAGACACGGCCCAAACUCCUACGGGAGGCAGCAGUAGGGAAUUUUCGGCAAUGGAGGAAACUCUGACCGAGCAACGCCGCGUGAACGAUGAAGUAUUUCGGUAUGUAAAGUUCUUUUAUUGAAGAAGAAAAAAUAGUGGAAAAACUAUCUUGACGUUAUUCAAUGAAUAAGCCCCGGCUAACUAUGUGCCAGCAGCCGCGGUAAGACAUAGGGGGCGAGCGUUAUCCGGAAUUAUUGGGCGUAAAGGGUGCGUAGGCGGUUAGGAAAGUCUAUAAUUUAAUUUCAGUGCUUAACGCUGUCUUGUUAUAGAAACUACCUUGACUAGAGUUAGAUAGAGGCAAGCGGAAUUCCAUGUGUAGCGGUAAAAUGUGUAAAUAUAUGGAGGAACACCAGAAGCGUAGGCGGCUUGCUGGGUCUUGACUGACGCUGAGGCACGAAAGCGUGGGUAGCAAACAGGAUUAGAUACCCUGGUAGUCCACGCCGUAAACGAUGAGUACUAAGUGUCGGGAUAAAACUCGGUACUGAAGUUAACACAUUAAGUACUCCGCCUGAGUAGUACGUACGCAAGUAUGAAACUUAAAGGAAUUGACGGGACUCCGCACAAGCGGUGGAUCAUGUUGUUUAAUUCGAAGAUACACGAAAAAUCUUACCAGGUCUUGACAUGCUCUGCAAAGCUAUAGAAAUAUAGUGGAGGUUAUCAGGGACACAGGUGGUGCAUGGUUGUCGUCAGUUCGUGUCGUGAGAUGUUAGGUUAAGUCCUAAAACGAGCGCAACCCUUGUCGUUAGUUACCAGCACGUAAUGGUGGGCACUUUAACGAGACUGCCAAUUAAACAUUGGAGGAAGGUGAGGAUUACGUCAAAUCAUCAUGCCCCUUAUGAUCUGGGCUACAAACGUGAUACAAUGGCUGUUACAAAGAGUAGCUGAAGCGCGAGUUUUUAGCCAAUCUCAAAAAAGCAG
rnacentral:rRNA from 1 species